rnacentral:sRNA from 1 species
CGGGAUCAACAUGCCGCAAGAAUUCGGAGAAC